rnacentral:rRNA from 1 species
AUUGAACGCUGGCGGCAUGCCUUACACAUGCAAGUCGAACGGCAGCACGGGAGCAAUCCUGGUGGCGAGUGGCGAACGGGUGAGUAAAGUAUCGGAACGUGCCCAGUCGUGGGGGAUAACGUAGCGAAAGUUACGCUAAUACCGCAUACGAUCUAUGGAUGAAAGCGGGGGAUCGCAAGACCUCGCGCGAUUGGAGCGGCCGAUAUCAGAUUAGGUAGUUGGUGGGGUAAAGGCCCACCAAGCCGACGAUCUGUAGCUGGUCUGAGAGGACGACCAGCCACACUGGGACUGGGACACGGCCCGGACUCCUACGGGAGGCAGCAGUGGGGAAUUUUGGACAAUGGGCGAAAGCCUGAUCCAGCCAUGCCGCGUGCAGGGUGAAGGCCUUCGGGUUGUAAACUGCUUUUGUACGGAACGAAAAGGACUGCCCUAAUACGGUGGUCCCAUGACGGUACCGUAAGAAUAAGCACCGGCUAACUACGUGCCAGCAGCCGCCGUAAAAC